UGUUUGCUCUUUGGAAGCAUCCACGAGACUGAACACCCCUGUUACUUCAUGGGUAAAGCUUGUACUUCUCAAAUACAAACUCCUGUUACUUCAUCUCAAAGUUUGCACUUCUCAAAUACAAACUCGGAAAAGAAGAAUGAUUGAGGAUGAUAAAGAAACAAUAGAUCUACCUUCAAUUCACAAGAGAUCAAUGGAGAAUAUGAUGACUAAACAAAAAUGUCAUUGGCAUGUACCCUAUAUGAAAAUAACAGAGGAAACAGAGAUGCAAGUGCAAACACACUUAAAG